rnacentral:misc_RNA from 1 species
UCGAGUUUACAACUCCCAAACCCCUGUGAACCAUACCAUCGUUGCUUCGGCGGGAUCGUCCCGGCGCCUCUGGCCCGGACCCAGGCGCCCGCCGGAGACCCAAACUCUUGACUUUUAGAGAUUUCUUCUGAGUAACACAAGUAAAUAAAUUA